ACUCCUACGGGAGGCAGCAGUGGGGAAUAUUGCACAAUGGGCGCAAGCCUGAUGCAGCCAUGCCGCGUGUGUGAAGAAGGCCUUCGGGUUGUAAAGCACUUUCAGUCAGGAGGAAAGGUUAGUAGUUAAUACCUGCUAGCUGUGACGUUACUGACAGAAGAAGCACCGGCUAACACC
rnacentral:rRNA from 1 species